UCUGUGGGCGAAGUUUCUCUUGAAGGCCUUCUCAGCUUUUUUCUUACACAGUGUAGAUAGCAGUUUCAGAAGGGAGAUAACAAAGGUGCAGAGGAACACAGCAGCUGUGUACGUGCAAAGGGAGCUUGCACAUUCAGUGCCUGCGUGCUCUGCAGAACGGCAAAGGGCUGAAUGCAACUUGAGAAGGACGAGCCAAACACUGAAACUGAGAAAGGUGUGUUAGAGACAGAGAAGCAAACACCCAAAGCCUUGAAGAAAUUUAGACUUUACAACGAUUUCAAAUUGGAGCAUAUCUUUGGAUUUUUACAAACAAAAAGAAAGACACCAUCAUCCAAACUGAUGGAAGGAAAAACCACUAUAUCUAACAGACUUGAAGUGUUUAAUCAUUAACAUACUUUGAAGUGCACUGUAUCUCCUCAUGCAUUAAUGCUGCUUGGAUGCCCACUUUCAUGAGACAGACCUCACUGCACAAGAGGACAGCAUUUUAAGUGGCUUCUUUCUGUGAUGCAAGAUCUACUCUGCAACCCUUGCAUGAGAUCUUAGGUAGCAGUGACAUUGAUGAUUUAACAGGGUUUGCCCACUUUCUUUCUGACCAGACUUUGUUCUGACUUACAACUAUCUCAGUCUGCUAAUAUGUGCAUGUCCUUCCAAAAAGCUGCUGCUUCGCCAGCCACAUUCCAGUAUUUUCAUGAGCUGUGAGGGUUAAAAUACUGUUUAGACUUAAGUUUUAUACACUGUUUCCAGCCCUAUUACUUAUACAAUGAGUGUGCAUGGCUUUGUACAAACAUGCAGUAAUACGAAACUGAACUGAAAGCUGUUGGUGGCAAAAAGAGGUGUAUCAGUUUGCUAGCAGGUCUACUGCUAGCAUCUGUCCCUUUUGUCUAUUUGCAUUUUCCAGCAGCUUUCCCCAGCCAAAUUCUAUAUCGCCUUUUAUUCAAACUAUUGACAAGGGUUUGUGUGGUCUGUUUCCUGAAAGCCGAAAGCUACCUGGUAUAAAAAUGACUCCUCUCCGUUAAAGAUGACGCAAAUGCUAAGCUCUACAAAAAGCAUUAGGAAACUUUUCCUGACAAAGGGCUGAAUAAGACACUCAGAUACUAUUUUGGGGGAAGGAGAGAUACAAUUCUGAUUACACAUUGUCACUGGGUUCAUUGUGAAAGUCCCUCUCUAUCCAGAUGUCUCUGUAAUUCCUCUUACUACCCUUUGUGUCACGCAGUGACGCUACAUCCUUCCUCACUAUGUCACACUGCGUUGCUCAGUGCUCCCACCACUAUGAAAUUUUUCACCAUGCCAUCCCCCAGGGACCUUUAUUCAGCACAGUGAAGCCCAGCACCUGAUGUCAUGUGGA
rnacentral:lncRNA from 1 species